AUAUUAAGUUCUACCUUACUAGCAAUGUUGUCACUGAUGAGUUUCCAGUGGUUUUAAACAUGUUCUCAAAUUCUUCAACACUCUUCACAUCAAGAAGUGGUGUCUGUUUCUCCUCCUCUUGUAUUUUCCUGCUUCUUUGCAUGACUAGUAUACUUUGAUUGGAUGCCAGACAUUGUGAGUUUAUCUUGUUUGGUGCUGGAUAUUUUUGUAUUGCCC
rnacentral:lncRNA from 1 species